rnacentral:rRNA from 1 species
UACAGAGGGGGCAAGCGUUGUUCGGAAUUACUGGGCGUAAAGGGUGCGUAGGCGGCCUUCUAAGUCGAACGUGAAAUCCCCGGGCUCAACCCGGGAACUGCGUCCGAUACCGGAAGGCUUGAAUCCGGGAGAGGGAUGCGGAAUUCCAGGUGUAGCGGUGAAAUGCGUAGAUAUCUGGAGGAACACCGGUGGCGAAGGCGGCAUCCUGGACCGGCAUUGACGCUGAGGCGCGAAAGCCAGGGGAGCAAACGGG